UCCUUGCAGAGCAGAGAAAAUCAGGGUUAUAGAUGCUUAAUUUUCAGAGAUUUUAUUAGAGGGAGGGAACUACAAGUAUCAAGGCAAGAAAUUACAACACUGGAAUUAUUCUAUAGAAAGCAAGUAAUUAUGAAUGUCAGGACUAGAAUGCCUUUGUGAAAGGGAUUUUCAUGACAAAUGUAGGCAAAUGGCAGAUUCUCUUCCUGACAUCAAGUGGCAGUGUUCUUACAUCUAAUGGCAUAUGCUUCCUUUCUGCCAGGGACCAAUUAUUCUGUCACAACAGACUGGAAGCCUUCAGCAGGUGACAUCAUGUCCUUGGAGCUUCAGUGUCUCACAAUUGCUAGUACCAGCUUGAUGUGAAUGACAGCCAUGGAAGGGAAGGCAGAGUCCUUGCCAGUACACCUGCUGUUUUGUUGAAUAAUAAGGGAAAAGUCAGCCAAUACCCGAUACUCUCUUGUUUUCAGGCAGUAAACAAACCUGAUAUUACCACAGUUUGUUAUGGACUACAUUUUGCUAUGGCUGCAUUUGCUGUGUAUGUAGAAUUCUGCGCAUUACUCAGAACUUUCUGGACUCUUAUAAAUUGAAGUCCUGUGGCCAUAAAUAGAAUAACAGUAGUCUGAAGAAGGAGCAUUAAUUUCACCAGACUGUCAGCACAACCACAAGCCUGUCCCUUCAGGGAGCUCACAUAAAAUGAAGCACCAAGUA